GAUGAACGCUGGCGGCGUGCCUAAUACAUGCAAGUCGAGCGAACAGACGAGGAGCUUGCUCCUCGGACGUUAGCGGCGGACGGGGGAGUAACACGUGGAUAACCUACCUAUAAGACUGGGAUAACUUCGGGAAACCGGAGCUAAUACCGGAUAAUAUAUUGAACCGCAGGGUUCAAUAGUGAAAGACGGUUUUGCUGUCACUGAUAGAUGGAUCCGCGCCGCAUUAGCUAGUUGGUAAGGUAACGGCUUACCAAGGCGACGAUGCGUAGCCGACCUGAAAGGGUGAUCGACCACCCUGGAACUGAGGCACGGUCCAGACUCCUACGGGAGGAAGCAGUAGGGAAUCUUCCGCGAUGGGGGAAAGGCUGACGGAGCAACGCCGCGUGAGUCAUGAAGGUCUUCGGAUCGUAAAACUCUGUUAUUAGGGAAGAACAAAUGUGUAAGUAACUAUGCACGUCUUGACGGUACCUAAUCAGAAAGCCACGGCUAACUACGUG
rnacentral:rRNA from 1 species